UUGUGUUUGAAAAUGGCUGGCUUAAUUAUAUGUGCGAGCGGUUGAGCAUUUUUUAUCACAUGCUGAUGAUUUGCUCAAUUUGGUAACCCUAAUAACAAAACCCAAAUCUAUCAUUUCAUCAUAUACUUUAUUGAUUUGGAGAUUUGUAUCUCAAACUAAAGUAAUCUUGGAUCCCAACUAUACUGUGCACAUAAAGUCAGCGGUUAUCUUGCUAUUCAAUCAACUCAAAUUUGCACUACAAUGUCGGUCUCCGGCAUUCAAGGUCAACUUCUCGAGGUCACAGGCAUGCUGGAGAGGUUGGAUUGAUAAUGCACUUUUCUAAUGCCAAAAAGGCAGCGAAAACCCAUCAGCUCCAUCGUAUUCAAAUGCACCUCCACCAGUAGCUUCUUUUCCCCAGGCAACUGCAAGCUAUCCUCCAGCACCUCAUUAUCCUUCCUACCCUCCAAAUUCUGCAGCACCUCACUUAUCCUCCAACUUCAUCAUAUCCGCCACAGUCGGCCUAUCCCCCUCCUCCGCAGGACCCACAUAACUACCCUCUUGCUGGACUACCCUGCAAAUGAAGUCCAAAACUAACAUGAAUCAUUUACUUCUUGGCCCUUGCAGGUCCAUAUCCUCCAGCUCCAUAUCUAUAUCCCCGACCACCAUAUUGAGAUGUAUUGCCCUCGACAAAGUUAAUGAAGAAAACAAACCAGCCAAUAGCUGUCUGGUAGUCCAGCAUCCUGAAGUGUAUAUACUUGGUAUCUACAUCGUCACUCCUAGCUUCAUCGUCUUCCUGAAACAUUUUCGCUUGCUAUGUCGCCUGUACCGUGUAUGUUAUGCAUCCUGCACAUUAUACCUCCAGAUUUUAUUGGAAACUACUUUGUGAGGUAGUAGUGAACAAAUCCCUCAAAUAUUAGUACUAGUUUUUUUGUAUUGCAAUUAUCUUUUUUUCUCA